AGGAUAGUAGUCAAAAAUGAUAUCUGAUUUGCAUUUAGAAGGUGUUACAAAGUAACCUAUCUUA
rnacentral:tRNA from 2 species